rnacentral:lncRNA from 1 species
UUUCCUUUUUUAUCACAUUUUCUAUACUUCAUAAGUGUAUAAGCCAUUACCUGUUUUAAAAAGAAUUACACAUACUGAGACUCUCUGAUGAAAUUUUUAAUCAAAAUGAACUUUUAUAGCUAAGAUAUUUAAGGAUGAAGUAUAUAAUGGAGUGCAACAAAGUGAACUCUAGAAAUAAUAUUGGGAACUAAUAUUACAUAACAUAGACUUUAAUAGCCAGUUUUGUAAGGUCUAGCCAUUUUUCAAGUAGGCAAAUUGAAGGAAUGACCUUAUGUUUAAACUGUUUAAUAUCUCCAAAUAUUUUUAAGGUACCUGAACUGAUACAGAAUGUUUCACACUGCAGAAAACAGUAAUUCCUGUACUUUUUAUGCACUGGCACCUUUAGUCCUGAUGCAUCUUACUGUUUGCAACAGUGCUACUUGAGAAAAUAUAGCUGUCUGGGGGAUUAAAGUAACACAUUUGCCCUGAUAUGUAACAGAACAGUCUCUAUCAAUCCAUUUCUGUUCUGGAGAUGAAAGAACUUUUAUUCAUUCAAAUCACUGUAAUAUAGUCUUGAAUUAUAAUGGCUUGAACAAUCUUGAUGAUUGUACACAGUUGUUGAAGCCUCCAAAGGACUGUCAUAAAUAAAACUAUUAGAUUGUAUUAUAGCAGACAUAUUCAGUGUCUACCAAGGGAUAACAGGAUUUUACAUUAAAGCACAGAUCUCUACAAAAAACUCUGAAUACCAAAAAUGCUUGAUGGAGGACUUCAUGAGCCAAUUUUUAGUCAAUAUAUGCUAUUUUUCUUUAAAAGUAUAUAAAGGGUAUAUUAAUGGGUUAAUCCUAUACAGAACAAGUGGAUACUGAGCCAACAAAUAAGGGAUUUGUCCUCCACAACAGGUACUUAAGCUCAUUCAGCCACAUGCAAACUUUCUGCACUAGCUGACGGACUUUCAGCUUCCAUCAAAACCUGGCAACCUGGCAUUGCUGCUAUGAUGACAGCAUUAGAAAACUGGCAUCUCAUGGGAGACAAGUCAGUUUACAUCAAUGGAAAUGGAUUUACACUGCAUCCUGGAUUCUGUACAAACAGGGAUUUGCUGGUUGUUCUUCUUUUCUGACCAUGAAGAUGCAGAGGAAGAUAUGACAGCACAAUAAAUAACUGAGAGAAGUUAAAUUGUUUCCUGAA